AGGACAUGUGGGUUAGGCAGAAGUAGAGGAUCCUGCAACUAUGACUGAGGGACUGG
ensembl:miRNA